rnacentral:rRNA from 1 species
UACGUAGGGGGCGAGCGUUGUCCGGAUUUAUUGGGCGUAAAGAGCGUGUAGGCGCCAGGUAGGUCUGCUGUGAAAACUCGAGGCUCAACCUCGAGACGUCGGCGGAAACCAUCUGGCUAGAGUCCGGAAGAGGAGAGUGGAAUUCCUGGUGUAGCGGUGAAAUGCGCAGAUAUCAGGAAGAACACCCGUGGCGAAGGCGGCUCUCUGGGACGGUACUGACGCUGAGACGCGAAAGCGUGGGGAGCGAACAGG